GAGGUGCGCCCAGUUGCCGGUAGGGAAGAAAGACGCGGCACGUGACUUGGGACGCACGCAGGCCGGCGGGGCGGGGCGGGAAGUGCGGUUGGUGCCGGCGCUAGGCGGCUCAUCCCAUCUCUUAGUGCCCGCUGAGUCCCAUCAAGUGUCUUUUCAGAUGAAGAGGAACUGUACUCAAGGGGCUAUAUUUAAGGAACUGUACCGAAGAAGUUCAUCUGUACCUGGAUCUCAAGCCUGAUCAGGCCUGAUAGUUUUCCCCUAGCCUUUGAGCCACCCUAGUUGAUACUGAGUGGAGCAGAGACAAGCUAUCUCCUCCGAAACCUGUUUAAAUUGCACAUUCAUGAGCAAAGAAUACUACUUCUUUAGAAAUGACUAAUUCGAGAGCAGGAAAAGCAGAAGAGUGAGACAUAAUGAAGACUGCUGGUGGGAGAAACCUGGCUCCAGUCUGGGGCAUCUAAAGAUACACAGCUGCACAGUGAUGGAAAUAUUGUGUAAUAAAAACAGUA